AUUGAACGCUGGCGGCAUGCUUUACACAUGCAAGUCGAACGGUAGAGGGGGCAACCCCUUGAGAGUGGCGAACGGGUGAGUAAUGCAUCGGAACGUGCCCAGUCGUGGGGGAUAACGCAGCGAAAGCUGUGCUAAUACCGCAUACGAUCUCUGGAUGAAAGCGGGGGACCGAAAGGCCUCGCGCGAUUGGAGCGGCCGAUGUCAGAUUAGGUAGUUGGUGGGGUAAAGGCCUACCAAGCCAACGAUCUGUAGCUGGUCUGAGAGGACGACCAGCCACACUGGUGCUGAGACACGGCCCAGACUCCUACGGGAGGCAGCAGUGGGGAAUUUUGGACAAUGGGCGCAAGCCUGAUCCAGCAAUGCCGCGUGCAGGAAGAAGGCCUUCGGGUUGUAAACUGCUUUUGUACGGAACGAAACGGUCUGGGUUAAUACCCUGGGCUAAUGACGGUACCGUAAGAAUAAGCACCGGCUAACUACGUGCCAGCAGCCGCGGUAA
rnacentral:rRNA from 1 species